AUGCCUUCCCAAAGUGCUUCAUCUACAGCAAACUCCAGUCAGUAUCUCCUGUCCAGUCAUCAGCCUGAAUGGAGGUCUUCAUGCUCGCCUGUCGUGUUCAUGAUGACCAACACUAGAGCUUAUGUUUAUGUCAUCUCAGGCGGCUGCUGCUCUCUUCAGCCUACGGCUCAACCUGUGACUGAACAGGUUUCCUCAUCUGUCAAGAGUGAGAGUGAGCAGAACCCAGAGGAGACUGUUUCCAGCAGCAGCAUCAGUAUGCUUUCUUUAUGCUGCGGCUGCUGCAAACCCAACAGAGAAAACAGCGAAAAUGACCCCGAACGCUGUGAAUGAGACACUCUCAAAAAGACACGGCCUUUACAAUCCCUUACAAAACAAAAAUAUUGGAAUAUACUGGAAAAUAAAGUGUAAUAUAUUAAAUGAUACA
ensembl:lncRNA